UACGAAGGGGGGCUAGCGUUGCUCGGAAUCACUGGGCGUAAAGGGUGCGUAGGCGGGUCUUUUAAGUCAGGGGUGAAAUCCUGGAGCUCAACUCCAGAACUGCCUUUGAUACUGAAGAUCUUGAGUUCGGGAGAGGUGAGUGGAACUGCGAGUGUAGAGGUGAAAUUCGUAGAUAUUCGCAAGAACACCAGUGGCGAAGGCGGCUCACUGGCCCGAUACUGACGCUGAGGCACGAAAGCGUGGGGAACAAACAGG
rnacentral:rRNA from 1 species